rnacentral:rRNA from 1 species
UACGGAGGAUCCGAGCGUUAUCCGGAAUUAUUGGGUUUAAAGGGUGCGCAGGCGGGGAUCUAAGUCAGGGGUGAAAGACGGUGGCUCAACCAUCGCAGUGCCUUUGAUACUGGAUCUCUUGAAUGUACCUGAGGUAGGCGGAAUGUGGCAAGUAGCGGUGAAAUGCAUAGAUAUGCCACAGAACACCGAUUGCGAAGGCAGCUUACCAAAGUAUGAUUGACGCUGAGGCACGAAAGCGUGGGGAUCGAACAGG